CUCCCAGGUCUCAGAAAGUGCAAGAGAGCUGGAAUUGGACACACAGCAGUAAGAGAGCUUCCUGAAGAAUAAGUUGCUUUCUCAGGAGUCCCUGAUGACAAACAUCCUGAAUGAAAAAAGCACCUGAGAGACAACUUGGGGGACCGCCUUUCAUUAUGUGUGCAAGAGGAGAAACAGCAAUACAUCUGUGCUUCCAAAUGUUCGUUAAGAUUGUGGUGUUUAGAAAUAUUUUUGUUAUGAUUUUAAUUGAAAUUUUCUUUUUGUUGUUUCAUAUUUAUAUGUUCUUGUUACUGUUUUUAUCUUUUCAAAUAUUUUUAAAUAUUUUAAUUUAUUUGUUUUAAUCCUGUUUUGUUGUAAAAAUGAAUUCCUUAUGAAUAAAAAUUGAAUUCUA